UGAGGACAAGAGACUUAAAAGGGAUGAGUUGGGCAAUUUGUGUUUUUGCAGGGAUUGUCACAGGUGGAGUAGGGGUUGAAACCAAAGCGUGUAUCUUCCCAGUGAAACCUAUAUCAAUAAUGCCAGGGUGCACAAAAAUACUUUGUAGACUAGCACUGGAUCUUCUGAUAAACAGUGCACUCAGUCCUCUCCAGAUGAGCCUGUGGGCCUUGAGAGGGACCCUGUGUACCUUUAAAGUGCUUAUGGUUGUUAAGAUGGAUGUGGAAACAUCCAUUCCGGCUGUGUCUCUGAUCCUCCCGUGAGCUGGUCACAUAGGCUCAGACAGGAAGGCGGGAAGAUGUUUGUAUCAUCAUGUGUUUCUCCCCUUCACACUGGGUCUUCCGUUUCCCUGGUCCUUAAAGGAAACUGUGUCAGAAUGAAUUCAGGAUCUGCAUUGUCUGGUCACUGGAUUGUUUUUUCCACACUGGCUACAAGCUGUAUUCCUUUGUCUGUGAAUUGUCCCUGGUAGAGUAGACUUAUGAGGACAGUUGGCUUUUAGGUGGCCUGGUUUUCCACAUCUGUAGCACAGGGGUGUCACUUUCACAGCUGCCGCUAUGGAGUCUGCUAACAAGGACAUGUUGUGGGCAUUGGAUCCAACCUUGGCACAAGCAUUUAUCAUCUCAUCCAAGGAUGGCUUCUCAUUUGGCAACAGUUCUAAGAACCUUCAACAGUCCUCAUAAGCAUUGCCCUUGGCCAACUGUAAAACUAAUUGGUUUCUGGCCUCAACAUUUAUUCAUUGUUUCUCCAUUGCAUCUUGCAGUCUUUCUAUGAAUUGUAGAUAAUUGAUAAGCCCCUGACUGGUCUUUGAGUAGGUCUGGGUUGGAUUUGCCAUGUUCAUGACCUUGAGCAAUGCUUGCAUCCCCAAAUCCUUUACUUGUGCCAGCACUGGUGGAUCUAGCCUGGCUUGGAGGCAAGGGCAAGCUAAUGGUGGUAAUCCUAAAAGCUGAGAGAACCCAACUUCAUAAUGUGGGUCUUCUCAGGGGACCUUUAGGUUUCUUUAUUCCUGUUUUUCUGCACAGUGUCACUAUGCUGACUCAAAGACCAUAUAUUGGACUGUUGUAAACAUUAGUUUAGCAAGCUGUUUAGUAUCAAAAGGAGUAACCUCCUCUGUUAUAAACCGCAGCAUAUUGGUGGCAGCAGGUGAGCCCAGGCUGUACUUGGCUACAAGCUGAUGCAGUUCUGAACGAACUGGCCACUGAAAAGGUGCAUAAUUAUCCAGUGUUUUUCCACCACCCCUUAUUACCAGGUAUGCUUCAAUUGUGCCAUAUUCAGGUUCCCGACUUCCUCAUAAUGGCACAUCAAUCACUUCUGCAGCUUCAUAAUCCCCACUUGCUAUCAUUGCUAGCUUUACUUGGUGCCAAAUGCUGACUGGAUCAGGCACGGCUGUUGGUGUUGUACUGAUGAUGGCUUUGUCUCAGGGGUCUGCAGAAAAAUGGUGGCUCUGGCUUUUGGUGCCCCUAGCCAGUAGGUGUUCCACAGACCGGAAGGCACGGGUGGUCAAUCCCCAUUGGCUGAGCCAGUCGCCACCCAGCCCAGCCAGCCAAUAGCAACGGCCUGGGCCUGUCUCCAACGGGCCUUACUGCUCCAGUUACAUAAGCAAGGUACUCUGAAUUCCCCAUAUUCCUUCAGGAGCUCCUGAGUUUCUUCUGCUGAUUCCCCUGUGGAGUUGUGAGUAGAGAGAAAUUAUCAGGAGAUGCCUGAGUGUCAUUUCCAUGAAUGGAGAAGCUGAUAUCUGGCAGCAGAAGAAUUAGCUGCAGAAAGCAACAAUUGAUGCCCAUGAGAACUUUUUGUCUGCUGUACACCUGGGAAGGAGAAACAAAGUUAACUUGUUGG